rnacentral:lncRNA from 1 species
GAAGGAGCCAGGCACACCAUCCGUCUGGAUAUGGCUGUGGAAAUCGGGACAACCAUCUUGCCCCAGGGGUGAGUGACAUCAACACUGGCACCAUUCUAGAUGAUGAAACUGAGGGACUAUUUAAUAAAGUGGCUAGUCCAACCAGAAGAAGAGUGAAAAAAUAAAAUAGUUAUUAUUCUAGAGGGAGAAGUGAGAGCUGAACCUGAGUGAUGUCAGGUAUUUUGCCCAUUGUCCUUGAAUGAUUUUAUCCAAUCAUCCAUCAUAACUUUUUAGUUUUAUGGAUUAAAAGUAAUUCUUAUCUGUUUGAAUGAAAAAAAUUGAAGUGUAAAAUUCAUUUUUUUUCCUCAGUUAAUAGCAGCACUGGAUCUAGAAUCUAGAAUGCUUGACUAAAAGUCUUUUUCUACUGCACCACGCAAUCUCAAGAUACCUACUCAGUCCUUACUGUUGGUUUUAUGGCUGCCCACUGCUGAAAAACUUUAUACUACUUAUGGGAAAAAGUCCAGCUACUUUUAAAAUCAUUUUACCAAAGCAACAUUCCAGUUCCCUGCUUUUGGUACAUAUAUUAGGCAAAUAAAAAUGUAAAAUUUUGGGGAGUUCCUCUUGUGGCACAGCAGGUUAUGAAUCCGACUGGUAUCCAUGAGGAUGUAGGCUUGAUCCCUGUCCUUGCUCAGUGGGUUAAGGAUCCGGAAUUGCCAUGAGCUGUGGUGUAGGCUGCAGACAUGGCUCAGAUUCUACAUUACUAUGGCUGUGGUGUAGGCUGGCAGCUGCAGCUCUGAUUGCACCCCUAGGCUGGGAACUUCUAUGUGCCAAAGGUGCGGCCACCCCCCCACCCCAAAAAGAAAAACUUCCAUUGCAUGUUUGAAAACCAUCCCAGAUGAUUUCAAAGGCAAGUUAUCAUUCCACUUUUUACAAGUUUUUAUGCUUAUUUCUAUGAGAAACAUUAUAUGUGCAAAUUGAAAGAAUAUUUGGAUAAGUGAAAAAAUAAUUAUUUAUCAUCUGAUUCCAAUCUAACAUUAUUUCUGGCAUUUGGGUUAUUUCUUUUCAGUGUAUUUUCUCUGUAUCCAUUUCCAUUCAUGUAGUUAUAUUAUUGGUAGUCCUCUCCACUUAUUAAAGUAGAGGGAUUUCUCUUUGUUAUAAUUCUUUGUAGCCAUUCACACUUUAUAAUGGUUCAUUAAUUGAGUGAUCAUUCCACAACUUAAUCAUUCCAUAUUUUUGAAAUUUAGAUUGUUUCCUUUUUUAUGCUAUUUUCAUGUACCACUGCUGUGAACCUUUUCAAGCAUAAAUAUUUUUAUUAUUUAAAGUUAUUUCUUUAGAUUAGAUCAAAAGGAUAUAUUCAUUCAAAAGGCUAUUGAUAUAUGCCAUUGAAUUAUUUUUUAAAAUGAUUUUACCAUUUUAUACUGCUUACAUGGUAUUUAUGUGCUAUAUUUCACCAAUUUUAUGAAAUAUUAAUUUUUUGCUCUUUGAUAGGUAAAAAAUGGUAAUGUUUUAAUUUGCAUUUUUGAUUUGCUUUUAAUUGUCUUUCCUUUAUCACUGGAGUCUUAAGUUCAAUUAAAUUAAAAAAGAUUUAAAAACAGGUAAUUUAAAAACACUUAAAAAUUUGUAACUCAUGAAUAUGAUGAAAUAAGCGGAUGGAAACAUAGGAAACUGGCUUAUUAUAUUGGUCAAGUUAGGACUCAUGGACAAUUGAUAGCUCUAAGUGAAAUGAAAAGGUUUUGAGGAGAGGAGGAUUAAAAUGGGGCUGCUGGAAUCUGAAAUCACUCAAUACAUGUUCAGAAAUUUCUAGAACACUCAGGCUGGACGGCAGGUGUUUAAGGCAGCUUUACCCUCCAGUGUGUCCAUUUGGGAAAUUUUUCUCUUGUAGGAACAAUUUGUUUAUUUCAAAGAAAACAAAUGAUUGUUUUUUGAGAAAAUGCAUUUGUGAAUAAAUGCGACCUGGGUAUCCAGUGUCCAGAUCAAUGCAAUAUUUUACUUAUAAGAUGCCAUAGUCAUCUUUCCAUCUAAUUACUAUCAUGAGAUAAAUGAUUCCUUUCACUGAAAACUCCAAAGGCAGUGAAGAACUGUGAGAUCUGGAGGUGUGAUUUGUAGAUCCCGUCUGAGAUGUCUUAAAAGUAAUUAUUGCUAAGCAUAGCCAUGUGCUCUGCUUUUAAGACACACUGGCUGUUGUUCCAAUGAUUUCUAUUGUUGCUGCUUAUACCUGGUACAUGUGUGGUAUUCAUAAGAAUUUUUCACUUUCUGUCUCUCCCUUGAAUAAAGGGAUUUACUUUAUAGACACUUUCUUAACCUUGCUCUGCCGAUUAAAAAAAAGCUUAAGGACCCCACAGAUUUCAUGACUUCAGAAAGCUCAUUCAAGAAAUUCCAGUAAGGAAGAGUGUGCUGGAAAAAAUUACUUUUCUAGAAGAGAAACCAAUACAAUCAGAAUGACUCAGAAUUGAAUUAUAAAUGAUUCAAAGCAAAUGAAUAUUGCUUAUUUAAAAGCCAAGGGUGAGGAGGAACUCUUGUUUUUAGAAUUAUAAGGUGCUCGUCUGUCAUGGGGAUAUAACAGCAAACAGAUAAUAGGGAAAAAGAAUCUGUUGGUUCUCCUAACCCCCUUCUCACUGUUUGUUCUAUUUUGGAUUUAAGAACUAUCUCCAGUAAAGGGAAGUGAAAGGAGUGACUUAGAGGACAAAAUAAGAAUGAGUGAGGGAUAGGUAUUUCAGAGUAUUUGGGACAAAAUUUUAAAAAUGAGAAAAAAGGCAAGCAGACCUGUCUGACCAACGGGAGCUGGGCACAUUCACAACCAGUAAAUUGGGCUCCUGCAUGCUCUAAUUCGUGUUGCACCCUGGACUGCUAACAUGCCUUGGUAAAAAGGAGAAAAGGAAGGAGGGGAAAAAAUCCAUGUGGGAGGCUGUGAGUGCACAGAGUCUGUUCUGAGCUCCCUCCACAGGCAGACAUAGAUCAAUAAAUCAAUAGGGAAUGUUCACUGGCUGUAAAAUGGGUAGAGGAUCCAGUGUCAGGCUGCUCCAAGAUGGAUGGACAGCAGGCUUGCUGUCUGCAGGGAAAGGCCAGAGGUGGCUAUCACCUUGAGAUGAGAUCAGUGACCAACAACCUAACAGCCCUUUGAACUCUGAGUCUAUGAUUGAGGACCUGGACAUGGCUUAAAAGAGUCCCAGUGUGCCCCAUGGUGACAUUCCCCCUACUUGUGCAUCACCCGCAACACUCACACCUUCGGCAGGGCUGAUGGUUUGCCAUGCAGAGCCUGGCCGCUGUCUACCCCUGGCCUGCUGUGCCCUGUCAUUGAAGUAAAGGCUGCAGGAGACCGAAUCAGAAAUUACUAGAUGCCCCAGUGGUAGGAAGCAUCGAUCGUAAAGGGUAGGGAUUUUCUGCACAACAGUUGGAUUUUUCCUUUUAUAUAAAGGGGGUUUAACAUAAUACAGACGGUGCUUUCACAGCAUAGCACUAUAUGUUAACCCUUGCCUUCGUGAACUUAACCUAAAGCUGCUACAGGGAUGGCUGCAGUUGGUCUCUCUGAAAAUUAGAAAAGUGCUUUUCUGUUUGGAGCACAUUAGGUCAGGCCUGCCUGGCUGUGUGGGGGUGGCACUGCUGCCCUAUGGCUGUGCAGGGGCUCUGUUGAAGCAGUGGGUGGUUUCUCAUCCAGCUGCUGCUCAGCCAGUGGGCUGUAGUGUUGUCUAGAUUUCAACAAAGAGCAGGGGACAGCCUGGCUUCAGGGUCCUUGCUACCAUGGUAGGCAGGGGAUGGUAUAUAUUCCUUGUCUUCUCUGUGACCCCAAAUUAUUCUCAGUUUUGAGGACACAUGGCUCCUAACCUCUUAUAACAGAGACCAAGUACUCACCUCGAUUGAGUUCAAAUGCCAUGCUAUCAGCCUCCUGCUUAGUUCUCAGAAUGUGGUUCUGUCCAGAAGGCACAAAUUGCUCAUCCUGGAGAAAAUGUAAAAUAAAAACAUUAUGAGUGAUAUUUUAGCUUAAUAUUCAGGUAAUUUACCAAUAUUUGGGCAUAUGUACAAUAUAUGUAUCAUUAAUUUCUUCAUUUUUUUAUUCAAGAGAUGCCUUUUUAUUUCCUGUUACUUGCCACUCAUAUGCUAGGCAACAUGCAGAAAAUCAAGAAAUUACAGUCUUAGUUCUCGAGGAAUGAAAGGGGUGGUCUGGAAAAGGAUUUCUAAAACUUCUGUUUCUAAUAUAUCUAAAAGCGCUCAUUUAGUUUUUUAAAGGCUUUUAAAAAAUCCUUAAGGUUUUUUUUAAUCGGUGUUUCUGGAUAGACAGAAAAUGCAGUUUUGGGGGAUAGGCAGAAAAAGUAAAACAGAUAUAUUAGAUAUGUAAAUAAAUGAAGGCUGUAUAGUAUAAUGGGAAAUGUAUUGGAGAGGAUUCAUUUAUUCAUUCAUUCAUUCAUUUGACAAAUGUUUAUUGAUUAUUCUGUGCCUGGCAAGCUUGCUGAUAGCAGACUUUCAACAUGGAAUCCUACAAACAAAUGUAUGAACAUAUAGGAUACUAUGCGGGGAGUAGGAGGAGCAUCUCAUUCAGAGGAGGGUAGCAGUCAGUGACGACUUUAAGUAGAGAGUUAAAGGAGGAAAAGCAGUUAGGGUGGAGCAAAGUGGGAGUCUGGGUGGGGCCUCUCAUCCUGAUCCUGUCUCCAACCAGAUGUGUAACUAUAGACAAGAAAAUGGGCCUAUGCUUCUCUACCUAUUAAAUAAAGGGAGUUGGACUAGAUAAUUCAUAUGAAGCCUUUUGGCUUGAGGUAUUAUGACUUUUGAAAAGGGUCUGCUUACAUGAAGGCUCUGUCCAUUAGAAAUACCAUUCUCAGGAGUUCCCGUUGUGGCACAGUGGUUAACGAAUCCGACUAGGAACCAUGAGGUUGCGGGUUCGGUCCCUGCCCUUGCUCAGUGGGUUAAUGAUCCGGCGUUGCUGUGAGCUGUGGUGUAGGUUGCAGACGCGACUCGGAUCCCACGUUGCUGUGGCUCCGGUGUAGGCUGGCAGCUACAGCUCUGAUUCAACCCCUAGCCUGGGAACUUCCAUCUGCUGCAGGUGCAGCC